ACUGCAAAAAAAUUCUAAACAUUUUCCCAAUGGCUGAGAACAACACAACAAAAAGCAAUGGCCAAAUAAGUGUUCAAGAUGCACAAGUGGCUGUGGUUAUGGUGCCACUUCCAGCACAAGGCCAUCUCAACCAGCUUCUCCACCUCUCGAGGCUAAUCACCUCAUAUAAUAUCCCAGUGCACUAUGUUGGAGCAACCCCUCAUAUUCGCCAGGUCAAGUUACGUGUCCAUGGUUUCGACCCUGUUACUACUAAAAACCUACAUUUUCAUGAAUUCCCUACACCACCUUUUGAAAACCCCCCUCCAAAUCCAAAUGCUUCUCAUAAAUUUCCUAAUCAUAUACUCCCUUUACUUUAUGCAACAAUCCAUUUCCGUGAGCCAGUGUGCUCUCUUGUAAACCAACUCUUAGGCGCCAAUCAUCGGAGAGUGAUUGUUAUUUAUGAUUCUCUGAUGACUUGGGUGUUGGAGGAUAUACCAGCAAUUCCAAAUGCCGAGUGCUACCGUUUUAACAGUUUCUCAGCUUUCUAUAUGUUUUCAUCCUAUUGGGAAGCCAAAGGAAAACCUUUCCAACCUGAAACUGAGAUAUUUGAGGACAUUAUAUCAAGAGAAAACUGUGCUACCCCAGAGUUAUGGGAAUUGUGGAAUAAACAAGGAUCCCUUGAAGGGAAAAUUUGCUCUGGAGAACUUUACAAUACAUCCAGAGUAAUAGAAGGUUCAUACCUUGAUUUAGUAGCCAAAGAAACUAAUGGCUUAAACCUAUGGGCUAUUGGUCCAUUCAAUCCGUUGUUGUCUGAGCAGAACAAAGACUCAAACAAACAACAUCAAACCUUGUAUUGGCUUGACAAACAAGAAACAAAUUCGGUAAUCUAUGUGUCUUUUGGAUCAACUACUACCUUGUCUAAUAAAGAAAUCAAAGAGCUCGCCAUCGGGUUAGAGAAAAGCAUGCAAAAGUUCAUUUGGGUUCUCAGAGAUGCUGACAAAGGAGAUGUUUUUGCAGGUGAAGAAAGGAGAGCUCAGCUGCCAGAAGGUUAUGAAGAAAGAAUAAAAGGAAGAGGAAUUAUUGAAAGAGAUUGGGCACCUCAGUUGGAAAUUUUGGCACAUCCUUCCACAGGUGGUUUUAUGAGUCAUUGCGGAUGGAAUUCGUGCAUGGAAAGCAUUUCCAUGGGAGUUCCUAUAGCAGCCUGGCCAAUGCAUUCAGAUCAACCAAGGAAUUCUCAGCUGGUAACAAAGGUCCUGAAAACUGGCCUAACUGUGAGGCAUUGGGCACGUCGGGAUGAAUUGGUUGCAUCAGAAAUAGUUGAAAAUGCUGUGAGAACUUUGAUGGCUUCACCUGAGGGAGAUGAGAUGAGGAAGAGAGCAUCAGAAUUAAGCAUUGCUGUCAAACAAUCAGUCAUGGAUGGGGAAGGUUACGGUGCGGAGAUGAAUUCUUUUAUCGCACACAUUACUCGAGAACUUUCUCACCAGAAUUGACCAAUUGAUAGCAUAAGUGGUUCAACCUAUGAGACUUUAUCAAUGCUCUAUCACCAUCUGAGUGGGUUCAGUGUCCCCUUUUAUGCACAUCACUGCAUGUAUGUUUAAGGAUAAAAAGCUUUUCUUUAUGAGUUCCUUAUAUUUUUUAGUAUAAAUGUAAAGGUCCUCCUUUACUAGCAACUAGUUCUUUUGGCCAGAGAUAUAAAAUAUUAGAAGCUGUUUGUGUAAUCUUUCAAGAACUUUUUGCUUGUGACUACUGAGUGAUAUACUAUGUAUUUUCCAUUCUGCCAGACUUCUCAUCUUGUUAAGUGUAAUUUACAUUAUUUUCUCAACAUUAAUACUACUCAUAUUUUGCAUCUAGACAAAUAAGGAAGAGAUACGGUAAGCUUUCUUGAGAGAUUAGAUUUGAAAUUGCAAUUUGCUCUGUUGCAAAAGGAGCUGUAAAAGGGGGAAAAUCAGAAGAGUUUGAUAUAAGGUAUCUACUUUGAUCUGUAUUUCAGAUUUAGUGGUAACUGUGGAACAUAUUCAAUUCCUUGACCAAGUAAGAUUGCUAAAGUAUUUUUGAAUCUUUUGUGUCUUACAUUCUAAAAAAAACCUAAAAUACAGGAAAUGUUAGGGGUGCGUCCUUUUUCCGCAUCUUGCUAAGGGGGAUUUUGGGGCACCGAAUUUCUCUUCCUUUAUGUUUCAGUGUGGGUUAGUUUAGUCCAUAUUUCAAAUUUGAGACCUCAAAAGAUUACCUGCUUAAUCAACUAUAGUUAUAUGUAUGCUUCAUAAGUGACAAAACAUAAAUAAUUAAUGGUGUAUGCUAUUAUUAUAUUUAACAAAAAACAACAUCGUUCGUUAUAGUACAUGAUACUUGAGUUUUCCAAAGUGAAUAGAAAAAUGGUAUAUGUGAAGCAAUAAUUAGUCAUGUGUUUCAUUUUAUGUGUUACUAGCUAGCUAUCAAAAUUGACACUUAUAGCAUUGACUAAUUUAAGUUGCAACCAAAACCCACUAUUAGUGGCAACCAUUAUAGGGAUUACCGAUGAUCAAAAUAGCAGGUAAAAACAUACUUUCAUCUGAAACUUAAAUAAGAAUAAGCAACAACUGCAUAUACCCCUAAUAUUGACAUUUAGUGGCGAGAAAUUUUGCCACAGAAACAAGAUACUAGCAACGACUAAUUUUGUCACUAAAACAUUCUUUUAUUGGCGACUAUUAUAGGUAUUAGCAACUACUUAUUUUGCCACUAAAACAUUCUUUUAUUGGCGCCUAUUAUGAGCAUUAGCGGCGAUUAUUCUUGCCACUAAAACAAACUAUUAGUGGCGACUAUUAUAUGUAUUAGCAGCGACAGCUUUUGCCACUAAAACAUUAUUUUAGUGGCCACUAGUAUAGGUAUUACAACGACUAAUUUUGCCACCAAACAUUCUUUUAGUGCCGACUAUUAUGAGUAUUAGCGGCGAUUAUUCUUUUCACUAAAACAAACUAUUAGUGGCGACUAUUAUAUGUAUUAGCAGCGACUAAGUAGUGACUUUUCCGUAAAAUUUGUGACUUUUAAGAAGGGUAAAAUAAAUAAGAAUCUUGAUUUGUGACGGCGUCGCAUAGGCAGGUCGGCUGUUGUAAACAAAUGCACGUUUAUGAAGAGUGGCAAGAGUGGUAACAAAAUGAACGGAAAAAGCAGCGGUUGAAGGCUGAAACUACGUUCCUAUUGUUGAGGGGGAAGGACAGUUUUGGAAAUAAAUAAAUAAAAAAAGAAUCCUUACUUCUAGUGGCGCGACGUCACCGGGUUGAGGGUUCUCUUUUAUAUAUAUAUAUAUAUAUUCUUUAAUUUAAUAUAAUUUUAUUUUAUUUUGAAAUUAAUGAUCUGAAACAAAUCUUAGAAAUUUGUGUAGCGAUAAAUUAUUUCAAUUAAGAAUAAAAGAAAAAAAUUAAAGUUAAAAUAUGCCUAAUUAUAGAAAGGUGACAACUUUUUUUUUGUCACGAAUUAAAAAGAAAAAUAUGUCACAUUAAUUUGAACAAAUAAAGUAUACAACAAUUUCAUUAUUUUUUAGAAAAUAAAUGAUACUAACGUUUAACUUUCUUUUUUUAAUAAAAUAAAAUAAAACGCAAAUAGUAAAGAGAUUUUGUGGAUCUCCCACCAAACGUUUUCUUCAAAGUUGAAUCAUGUAGUUGAAAAUGGAUUAUAUAAUUUAAUGUUUAUUUAUAGGUGCAUUAGAGCAUUAAGAUGAGGUAAUUAUUCGGUGUAUUUUUAAAAUCAGCUUAUUUAAAAAAAAUAAAAAAUUAUUCGGUGUAUUUUAAAAAAAUACUUUUUGGAAGUAUCAGUUUAUUUGAAUAAUCAAUUUGAAAAAUAUUUAUAUUAAAACUAAAACAAUUAGUAUUCGACCAAAAUUCUAAAAGUGUUUCGAAGGUUAAAAACUAUUUCGCUUCAAGGAAAACCAACUUCUACUUUAGAUGAAAACACAUAUAUUUUUCCCAGAAGCUUUGAUCAAACACUUCAAUUCUCUAAGUGGACUCUAAAGAAGGUGAUAUGUUUGCAGUCUUAUAACUACUAUGUGAAAGAUAGAAAUAUUGUUAUCGAUAUACCUUGACUCAAGUAAAAUAUAUAAAAAUCAAGUAUCUUGAGAACUUAUUUCUAAUAAAUCCUCGGCUCAACUCUUUAAAAUAACCACAUAUUUUAUUUUAAGAAAUUCCCGACUCAACUUUCUAAAAUAAUCAUUCUUUCUUUAGAAAAAAAACUUCUUAUUUCAUUGAAACUUGACCAGACAGACUAUAAAUUAGUAUUACCUAAUUGGUGAAGAUAUCUAGAAUUUCCUUUUGUGAUAACAUCAAAUAAUGGAGAAACUACAACAACUGCUUAAUAUGGACAAAAACUGAAAAGAAAGUCUAUAAUGUCUGCUCCCAUAACAAACAUAUUAGUAUUUUGUCCUAUGAUAGAAGAUUCUAAUAAUAAAAUAAUGAAGAUCUACAAAUUAUAUAUAUUUGGAUUUUUUUACAAUGAGGAUGAUGAUAUUUUUCUUUGGUAGCUAACAACAUAUUUGUAAAUAACAUGCCAUUAUGGUUAUUAUUCAGUGAAUUUCUCGAUAAAUAUACAAAGUUUAGACUAAAGUUAUUGAGUUUUGCUGAACAUUGCGGCAAGAACAUGGGAAAGAGUAUGUAAUCAACUCAAUAUUGACUCUCUCCAGUCUCCUUUAGCACAAAACUCAAAAGAAAAACUAAGAAGCUGCAGUCCAAACAUAUAGUAUGUUAAUAUUUGAAUUGUGAACAUACAAAAGUAUGUUUUCUACAUAAAUUCAUAGUAUAGAGAAUUGAGGGUAUAACUUUUUUCGUAACCACUUGUCGGUAGUUCUACAACACAAUAACAUAUCCAGUGUAAUCCCACUUGUCGGUGGUUUUAUUACAAAAAAAACAAAGAGAUUUGAUUGUGAUUGCAUACAGAUGCCUGUUCAUUUUGUUGAGAAGGUAUCCUAUUAAUGAUUUUAAGUUUUUUAGCAGCCCACCAGCAAGUACAAGUUGGCAUUGGACUCAUGCAUUAUAAAAGAAUCUAUGUUUUCACCUAGACUACAUGUAACUCGAGACACUUCAGAAGCUCAGAUACUCAUACAACUGCAAAAUUUCAAAACAUUUCCCAAUGGCUGAGAACUACACAACAAAAAGAAAUGGCCAAAUAAGUGUUCAAGAUGCACAAGUGGCUGUGGUUAUGGUGCCACUUUCAGCACAAGGCCAUCUCAACCAGCUUCUCCACCUCUCGAGGCUCAUCACCUCGUAUAAUAUCCCAGUCCAUUAUGUUGGAGCAACCACUCAUAUUCGCCAGGCUAAGUUUCGUGUCCAUGGUUUCGACCCUGGCACAGCUAAAAACCUAUAUUUUCAUGAAUUCCCUACACCACCUUUCGAAAAUCCUCCUCCAAAUCCUAAUGCUUCAAAUAAAUUUCCUAACCAAUUAAUCCCUUCAUUUUAUGCAACAAUCCAUCUCCGUGAGCCAGUGUGCUCUCUUGUACGCCAACUACUAGGCGUCAAUCAUCGGAGAGUGAUUGUUAUUUAUGAUUCUAUGAUGAGUUGGGUAGUAGAGGAUGUACCAGCAAUUCCAAAUGCUGAGUGCUACCGUUUUAAUAGUAUCUCAGCUUUCCAUACGUUUUCAUGCAUCUGGGAAUCCAGAGGGAAACCUUUACAAGCUGGAACUGAAAUAUUCGAGGACAUUUCAUCAAACGAAAACUGUGCUACCCCAGAGUUAUGGGAAUUAUGGAGUAAACAAAAUUCCCUUGAAGGGAAAAUUAGCUCUGGAGAACUUUACAAUUCAUCCAGAGUAAUAGAAGGUUUAUACCUUGAUUUAGUAGCCAAAGAAAUUAAUGGCUUAAACCUACGGGCUAUUGGUCCAUUCAAUCCGUUGUUGCUGACUGAGCAGGACAAUGAUUCAAAUAAACGUCACAAAACCUUGGAUUGGCUUGACAAACAAGAACCGGACUCAGUGAUAUAUGUGUCUUUUGGAACAUCUACUUCUUUGUCGAAUGAAGAAAUUGAACAACUCGCCAUUGGGUUAGAGAAAAGCCUGCAAAAGUUCAUUUGGGUUCUCAGAGAUGCUGACAAAGGAGAUGUUUUUGCAGGUGAAGAAAGGAGAGCUCGGCUGCCGGAAGGUUAUGAAGAAAGAAUAAAAGGAAGAGGAAUUAUUGCAAGAGAUUGGGCACCUCAGUUGGAAAUUUUGGCACAUCCUUCCACAGGUGGUUUUAUGAGUCAUUGCGGAUGGAAUUCGUGCAUGGAAAGCAUUUCCAUGGGAGUUCCUAUAGCAGCCUGGCCAAUGCACUCAGAUCAACCAAGGAAUUCUCAGCUGGUAACAAAGUUCCUGAAAAUUGGCCUAAAUUUGAGACAUGGGGCAUGUCAGGAUGAAUUGGUUACAUCAGAAAUGGUUGAAAAUGCUGUGAGAACUUUGAUGGCUUCACCUGAGGGAGGUGAGAUGAGGAAGAGAGCAUCAGAAUUAAGUGUUGCUGUCAAACAAUCAGUCAUGGAUGGGGAAGGUACUGGUACAGAGAUGGAUUCUUUUAUCACACACAUUACUCGAUAACUUCUCAUUUGUAUUGAACAAUUGGUUGCACACUACCAUCUAGUUAACAUAAGUGAUACAACCUAUGACACUGUAUCAAUGCUCUAUCACCAUCCGAGUGGGUUCAGUGUCCACCCUACUGGCACCCCUUUAUGCACAUCACGGCAUGUAUGUUGAGGAUAAAAACCUUUCCUUUAUGAGUUCUUUGUAUUUGUUAAUAUAAAAGUGGAUGUCCUCCCAGAUAAAUAAAAUAUUGGAUGCUGUUUGUGAAUUCUUACAAGAAUUUUGUGCUUGUGACCUGAAUAACAUAGUAUGUUCUUUCAGGACUUUUAUAGCUUCUUGUCUUUAACUCUGUGACCUUGUAUUUGAUAUUCUGCCAGACUUCUCAUGUUGGUAGGAGUAGACAAUCUUUUUAAGUGUACUUUACAAUAUUUUCUCAACAUUUAUAGAAUACUCUUUUUUGCAUCAAGACAAAUACGGAAGAGCUCUGGUAUUCUAUGAAGUUUUUCAAUUAAAAUAUGAAUCACUUUGUAACUAUACUAACUUUUAACCUUAGCAACACUUUUUCAAAUCUUACGAUGAGUGAUCCAUGAAGCUGUCAGAAAAUCAGAAGAGUUUGACACAAGGUAGCUCUGCUUGUAUCUAUUUUUAUCUGAAGAUGCUUAUUUCAGAUUUAUUAAGUGGUCAAAUUAGUGGGUGACUGAGGAAGGUCUUUGAUUCCUUGACCAACUAAGAUUGCUAAGCAUUUUUUAAUCUUUUGUGUCUUACCCUCUAAAACGAAGCUAAAUUACAGGAAAAUACUACAUAAUGAAGUCUAUUAUGACUGCUCCUUGACUAAAGUUUGCUCCAUUAUGUAAUACUCCUACUAUAUUGUCCUACGAUAAAAGAAUCUGAAGAUAGCAGUGUUUAUAAGAACCACAAAACUAAUAUUGAUAUUUCUUUGAUUCUUGCACUUGAAAUAAACAUAUAUUUGAUUUUUACAAUUAUGAUGAUGAGGAUGUAAAUUCGACUGAGAUUACAAUGACAACUAUCUCAGUAUCUUUAAUACUUACGUGGGUGUAUACUUUUUUUUUCUUCAAAUAAUAUUUUUAUGGUCUGCCUUUGCUGUUGGUUUUUCCUCCAUUUUGUAUAAAACUCAACCAGUUGCUGUUGGUUUUACUGAUAGACAACAAAGGAUUUGAUUGUGACUACUUUAAGUAAUACAUUUUGCAGCAAUAUGUCAAAUAACAGAAGUUAAAAAAUUUCAAUAUCUUUUUAACAAUUAAGCUUUCUAGCAGCCGGCCAGAUAAUUCUAGUUGUUGGAUUCAUGCAUUAGACAUAAUCCUUAUAAGAUCAUCUAUGUUUUUCUCCUACAUAUAACUCAAGGCACUUCAGAAACGGCAGACACUCAUCAAACUACAAAAUUUCUAAGCAUUUCCCAAUGGCCGAGAACUACCCCAUAAAAAGCGAUGGCAAAAAGGGUGUUCAGGAUGCACAAGUGGCAGUGGUUAUGGUGCCACUUUCAGCACAAGGCCAUCUCAACCAGCUUCUCCACCUCUCGAGGCUCAUCACCUCGUAUAAUAUCCCAGUCCAUUAUGUUGGAGCAACCACUCAUAUUCGCCAGGCUAAGUUUCGUGUCCAUGGCUUCGAUCCUGUCACAGCUAAAAAUCUAUAUUUUCAUGAAUUCCCUACACCACCUUUUGAAAAUCCCCCUCCAAAUCCUAAUGCUUCAAAUAAAUUUCCUAACCAAUUAAUCCCUUCAUUUUAUGCAACAAUCCAUCUCCGUGAGCCAGUGUGCUCUCUUGUACGCCAACUACUAGG
rnacentral:lncRNA from 1 species